rnacentral:lncRNA from 1 species
AUUAUAGGAAAAAAUGAGGUUCGUUUGCAGGUGCAAAGACUUAACCUGAGCUAUCUUUGCUGAAAAAAUGUUAGAGAAAUUUUUUUAGUGCACAUAAGAAUGGUAAAGAAAAUACAUUGGAUAUCACUACUUAAGAUUAAAACAUUCAGGGCUCUCUCUCCAACUCUCGUUUCUAUAUCCUCUGUAUUCUGGUUUUAUUCUCUAACCAUAUUUUUCCAAAAAAACUAGCAUUCACUUUUCUAACUCUAGGAUCAUAUACUCACAAAUUUGUAGCUGUUAAUAAAAGGCUUCUUUUCUCCCAGAUACCACUGAACAAAAAUCAUGGAAAUAAACUUCUUUCUCUGGUUGUAGUUAUAUGUUUGGAUUUUAGACCACUUUGCUUACUCAUAUGAUCAUGUGAGUUUAUUCCUUUAUUAUAUAUUCUAUUAAAGAGGUGAAUAGGUUUGUUCUAUCUUAUUAAAAUGUAGUUGAUUUACAAUGUUGUGCCAAGUUCUGCUGUAUAACAAAGUGACUCAGUCAUAUAUAUAUUCUCUUUCUUAUAUUAUCUUCCUAUCAUGGUCUAUCCAAAGAUACUAGAUAUUGUUCCUUACACUAUACAGUAGAACCUCAUUGCUUAUCCAUUCUAAAUGUUAUAUUUGCAUCUACUAACCUCAAACCUCUCAGACCAUCCCACUCCCUCCCCCUCCCCUUGACAACCACAAGUCUGUUCUCUAUGUUUGUAAAUAUGUGUCUAUUUUGUUAGGUUCAUUUAUGACAUAUUUAAGAUUCUGCAUAUAAAUUAUAUCAUAUGGUAUUUGUCUUUCUUUUUCUUUUUUAAAAUGAUUUUUAUUUUUUCCAUUGUAGCUGGUUUACAGUUUUGUCAAUUUUCUACUGCACAGCAAAGUGACCCAGCCACACAUACAUAUAUACAUUCUCUUUCUCACAUUAUCCUCCAUCACACUCUAUCAUAAGUGACUAGAUACAGAUCCCAGUGCUAUAGGGCGGGAUCUCAUUGCUUAUUAUCCAUUCCAAAGGCAAUAGUUUGCAUAAUUAUUAUCUUAACUCCAAAUUCCCAGUCCAUCCAACUCCCUCCACCUCCCACUUGGCAACCACAAGUCUUUCUUUUUCUGACUUAAUUCAUUUAGUAUGAGAAUCUCUAGUUGCAUUGAUGUUGCUGCAAAUGGGAUUAUUUGCAUUUCAUUUGAGUAGUAUUCCAUUGUGUUCAUUUACCUACCUCUUCUUAAUCCAUUCAUCUUUUGAUGGACAUUUAGGCUGCUUCCAUAUCUUGGCUAUUGUUAAUAGUGCUGCUGUGAAUAUACAGGUGCAUAUAUCUUUUUGAAUUGUAGUUUUGCCCAGGAGUGGAAUUGCUGGAUACAUGGUAGUUCUAUAUUCAGUUUUCUGAGGAACCUCCAUAGCAUUCUCCUUAUGUUGGUACCAAUACACAUUUCCACCAACAGUGAAAGAAGGUUCCCUUUUCACCACACUCUCUUCAGAAAUUUAUUUGUAGACUUAUUAAUGAUGGCCAUUCUUACCGGUGUGAGGUGGUAUCUCACUGUAGUUUUGAUUUGCAUUUUUCCAAUAAUUAGUUAUAAUGAGCAUAUUUUCAUGUGUCAACUGGACAUUCAUAUGUAUUCUUUGUAUAAAUGCCUAUUUAGGUAUUUUGCCCAGUUUUCAAUUGGGUUAUUUGUUUUUUCAUUUUGAGUAUAUUUUGGAGGUUAAGCCCUUGUGGGUUGCAUCAUUUGCAGUUAUUGCUGUGAUUUCAUAGGUUGUCUUUUUUUUUCUCUCUUUUUCUUUUUUAUGGUAUCUUUGUUGUGCAAAAGCUUGUAAGUUUGAUUAGGUCCCAUUUGAUUAUUUCUGUUUUUAUUUCUAUUUCCUUGGGAGACUGACCUAGGAAAACAUUUGUAUGCUAGCUGUCAAAGAAUGCCUUGCUUAUGUUGUCUUCUAGUAGUUUUAUGGUGUCACAUCUAAUGUGUAAGUCUUUAAACCAUUUUGAGUUUAUCUUUGUGCAUGGUGUGAGGGUGUGUUCCAGUUUCAUUGAUUUACAUGCAGCUGUCCAGUUUCCCCAGUACCACUUGCUGAGGAGACUCUCCUUUUGCCAUUUUAUAUUAUGCCUUCUUUAUCAAAUAUUAAUUGAUCGUAAGUGUCUGUGUUAUUUCCGGGAUCUCUAUUCUAUUCCAUUGAUUCAUAUGUCUGUUUUUGUACCAAUACCAUACUCUCUUUCUCUCUGUAGCUUUUUAAUAUUGACUGAAAUCUGGGAGAGUUAUACCUCCUGCUUGUUCCUCCCAUACCCCAGGAUUGCUUUGGUAAUUCUGGGUCUUUUACUAUUAUAUAUAAAUUUCAGAUUAUCUGUUCAAGUUCUGUGAAAAAUGUCAUGGGUAAUUUGAAAGGAAUUGCAUUAAAUCUGUAGAUUGCAUUGUGUAGUGUCGCCAUUUUAACUAUAUUAAUUAUCCCAAUCCAGAAGCAUGAGAUAUCUUUCCAUUUCUUUGAAUCCACCUUAAUUUCUUGAAUAAAUGUUUUAUAGUUCUCAGCAUAUAAGUCUUUCACCUCCUUGGUCAGUUUUAUUCCUAGGUAUUUGAAGUCUGGGGGGGUGCAAUCUUAAAAAUUAAUGUUUUUUUUGUAUUCUUUUUCUAAUAUUUCAUUGUUAGUGUACAGAAAUGCAAGUUAUUUCUUAGUGUUAAUCUUGUAUCCUGCCACUUUGCUGAAUUCAUUGAUCAGUUUGAGUAGAUUUUGAGUGGAGUCCAUAGGGUUUUUAUAUAUAGUAUCAUGUUAUCUGCAUAUAGUGACAAUUGUAAUUCUUAUCUUCCAAUUUGGAUACCUAUUAUUUAUUUUCUUUGUCUGAUUUCUGGGCUAGGACUUCAAACACUAUAUUGAAUAAAGGGGUGAGAAUGGGCAUCCUUGUCUUGUUCUAGAUUUAGUGGGAAAGAUUUUUUUUUUUCUCUGCUAUGUAAAGUUCCAUGUGUACUUGGCUGUGGGUUUGUCAUAAAUGGCUUUUAUUAUGUUAAGAUGUUCCCUCUAUACCCACUUUAUAAAAGUUUUAUCAUGAAUGGAUGUUGGAUUUUGUCAGAGGCUUUUUCCACAUCUAUUGAAAUGAUCAUUGUUAGGUUUGCUGAGG